AACGAACGCUGGCGGCGUGCCUAAUACAUGCAAGUCUAGCCGACAGAAGGGAGCUUGCUCCCGGAAGUCAGCGGCGGACGGGUGAGUAACACGUGGGCAACCUACCCUGUAGAUCGGGAAUAACAUCGAGAAAUCGGUGCUAAUACCGGAUAAUCAUUUGAAGUGCAUGCUUCGAAUGUAAAAGAUGGCUCCGGCUAUCACUACGGGAUGGGCCCGCGGCGCAUUAGCGAGUUGGAAAGGUAAUGGCUUACCAAGGCAACGAUGCGUAGCCGACCUGAGAGGGUGAUCGGCCACACUGGGACUGGGACACGGCCCAGACUCCUACGGGAGGCAGCAGUAGGGAAUCUUCCGCAAUGGACGAAAGUCUGACGGAGCGACGCCGCGUGAGUGAUGAAGGUUUUCGGAUCGUAAAGCUCUGUUGUUAGGGAAGAACAAGUGCCGUUUGAAUAAGGCGGCACCUUGACGGUACCUAACCAGAAAGCCACGGCUAACUACGUGCCAGCCGCCGCCGUAACAC
rnacentral:rRNA from 1 species